CCCUUAGAUGCUCUGGGCCGCACGCGCGCUACACUGGUCGAUGCAACGAGUUUCUUUCCUUGGCCGACAGGCCUGGGCAAUCUGUGAACAUCGAUCGUGAUCGGGAUAGAUUCUUGUAAUUUUUGAUCUUAAACGAGGAAUUCCUAGUAAACGCAAGUCAUCAGCUUGCAUUGAUUACGUCCCUGCCCUUUGUACACACCGCCCGUCGCACCUACCGAUUGAAUGGUCCGGUGAAAUCUCCGGACUGGCGUGAGUCGGAGCAAUCUGACAAACGCCGGAAAGUUGAUUAAACCUUACCAUUUAGAGGAAGGUGAAGUCGUAACA
rnacentral:rRNA from 1 species